ensembl:ncRNA F46F5.19 ncRNA
CAACUCCUUGUUGCAACACUGGCUUCUUUUUUAAUCUUGGAAAGAUAUUAGAUGUUCCUGAUGCUCCGAGCCUCUACGAGCUCUUUCUCUGGCUAACCUUUUCGGAUCAUUUUACUGGUUACAUUUCUGAUUACAUCGGUGAGUCUUAAAAUUUCAGGGUUUGAUAAUACCGUUUUGAAUAACUUAUCAUGCACGUUGGACUUACUCUACGGCUGUCAAUGCUCAAUUCAGUGGCUCUUUGAAUCUUAGAGAGUUUUGAUUGGUUGUCGCUACAAGUUUCAAUGUGUCACUCCUGGCCUGGCAAAUGAUCUAUAUGAAAUCUGCUCAGCUUCUCCAACCUUUUCGACGACUCAUCCUUUCUUACUACAAUAAUUACUCAAGUUUGUGUGUGUUCGUCAAGCUCAAGUUCUUAAUUCGUUGGCUCUUUGCAAUUUCGAAGCGGAAAAAAAGCUUCAUGAAACUAUUAGUUGCUGCUUAUUGGUUGGCAGAAACUUUUGUACAAAAAUCAACGCAAAGCUCACAGUGUAAUUUGUAAAGAAUGGCUGAAAAAUAAAAGCAAUGAUUGGCCUCGAUAACACGAUCAAUUUGGAUAUAUCAAGCUUAUUUGCACAAGCUUGAAGAGAACUGUCACAUAGGAAAUCUGUAGCUGAUGUUGUUUUGAAUCACAAAUCACAAAAGCAUCAACAACUGUUCCAUCAAAUGCUCUAUGUACUUUUCCAUUAACUAUCCAUUAACUAAAUGCUUGAUAUGGUGCUAAUUGUGCUCUUUUCGCACACGAUUCAACGGCUGUUCCAUCGAUUGCUCCAUCUACUUUUUCAUCAAUUUGUGCAUGUUGCGAGUCUACUCUGCUGAAAAUGCCCUGCCCUUAGAUACUAUGCUUCAACUCCACUCAUUUUUAAUCCCAUUUGGGUCAGUAUUUUAC